GGGCGCUUAGCUCAGCUGGUUCAGAGCGUCUGCCUUACAAGCAGAGGGUCGGGGGUUCGAAUCCCUCAGCGCCCA
rfam:Prevotella sp. CAG:873 genomic scaffold, scf264